GUAGCAGGGGGGAGACUGCUAACUUCAUCUGCCCCAGUGGGAGAAAAGACUGAGGUGGUGAGACUUGGUCUCCAAGCUGUGAAGGAAGGCUGCACUCCAGAAGAGAUUCCUGAGUGAAAGGACACUUGCUAUGGAGAAGAGUCCUGGAACCACAUGAGGAACAAGAACUGAACUGGGGAAAAUGCUGGAUCCAAGCUAAAAAGACUUCUAGCCUGUGUAUGAAGACCUGAGAAACCCAAGCUAUAAAGCUAAUACAGCUUGUGCCUUAAGAAUCUACAAGUCUGCCUGUACCAUCAGUGAGGCUCCGACCCUGGCUCAACUUCUGGUUCUUGAUUCUCGCUCUGACCCUCAGCUCCACUUCCGAGCUGCUGACUCUGGCUCCAACUACUAGGCCUCACACCUGUUUUAGCCAUUAGGCCUGACUGCCCGCUCAUAAUGAUCAGGUAUGCUCAUUUAUGCCACAACCUUCCAAAGGCAUGCUGAGGAUUGGAAUCAUAUGAAAGGAGAACUAUUUCCCAGUUAUUUGGGGAAAGAAGAACUAACCUUCAAUGGACAGGUUUCUGGAGCUAUAAGAAUAACUUUACUCAUGACCACAGUAGUGGGGUUCUUCUUUGGACAGAGAAACUAAUUCCAAACCCCUUUCUUUUGGAGACAAUGGCAACUAGAAAGGCAAACUGGAGUCUUGUCCAAUCUGCCAUUCUGAUUAAUCUUGAUAUUUUGUUGAUACUCAGCUGGGGAGUCUUAUAUACACACCUAAAGAAUGCUGCUUGAGAUGUUACUUACUUUUCUAUGGUGCUUGGUUGUAAGACUCCAGUUGAGCAUCUUGGA